rnacentral:rRNA from 1 species
UACGUAGGGUGCGAGCGUUGUCCGGAAUUAUUGGGCGUAAAGAGCUCGUAGGCGGCUCGGUAAGUCGGGUGUGAAACCUCCAGGCUCAACCCUGGAGACGCCACCUGAUACUGCUGUGGCUAGAGUCCGGUAGGGGAGUGUGGAACUCCUGGUGUAGCGGUGAAAUGCGCAGAUAUCAGGAGGAACACCGGUGGCGAAGGCGGGUCUCUGGGCAGUAACUGACGCUGAGGAACGAAAGCGUGGGUAGCGAACAGG